rnacentral:ncRNA from 1 species
AAUAAUAAGGUAAGCUUUCAAGCCGCCGCCCUUUAAAGGAGCGGGCGCAGUGAACUGUAAUUGUGAAAAGAUUGGAAGAUCUGGCCAAAGAAGGUGAUAGCCCUGUAGAUUCGUUCCCAUGGUUCGAUCCUUCCCAGUAAAACGCGGCGUGUUCGAAUUCUGAUCGCUUUUACGCGAGAAAGGGGGACCACCCUCUAAGCCUAAGUAUUCCUCAAUGACCGAUAGCGUACAAGUACCGUGAGGGAAAGGUGAAAAGAACCCUAUUUAGGGAGUGCAAUAGA